GACGAAGGUGGCAACCGUUGUUCGGAAUCACUGGGCAUAAAGAGCACGUAGGCGGGUGUGUAAGUCGGGUGUGAAAUCCCUACGGCCUAACCGAGGAACUGCGCCCGAUACUGCACAUCUUGAGGACAGAAGGGGAGCGUGGAAUUCCUGGUGGAGCGGUGAAAUGCGUUGAUAUCAGGAGGAACACCGGCGGCGAAGGCGACGCUCUGGUCUGUAACUGACGCUGAGGUGCGAAAGCUAGGGGAGCAAACAGG
rnacentral:misc_RNA from 1 species